rnacentral:lncRNA from 1 species
AGUAAUCCAUGAUGUAGAGUACCACUUAGGUAUCUCAAAAUCCUUUUAACUGCCUUCCAAUGUUCUUCCAAAGGAUGAGAUAAAAACUGGACACCUUAUUUACAGAAAAUGAGAUUUCAGGUCUGGUAAUAGUGGCAUACUGAAGUGCCCCCACAACAGACCUGAACUGAGUUGGAUCUGGAAUAGCAGCAGAGCCAACUUUUGACAGUUUACUUGUAGAUACCAUAGGAGUAGGCAUACUAUUUGCAUUGAGCAUGUUAACCUUAGCAAGCAAAUCAGUUAAGUAUUUAGCUUGAGAAAGAAAGAGUGAACCAUUAGCCAAAUGAGUAACUUCUAUGCCAAGAAAAUACUCCAAUUUUCCCAACUGUUUCAGAGAAAAAUCAGUAUUUAAUUUGCUGAUCAGCUUGGUAAUGAAGGGGGCAGAAUUACCAGUGAUGAUAAUAUCAUCAACAUAGACCAAUACCAUUAUAGUUAAGUUUGCAGUAUGCAGCAGGAAUAGGCUAGGAUCACAUUUGCUGGCAUGAAAACCAUGUUGCAGUAAAGAGCUCUUAAGCUUGUCAAACCAGGCUCUAGGAGCCUGCUUUAGCCCAUAAAUAGCCCUGUUCAGCUUGCAUACAAGAGUCUUGUCAGGAGCUUCAAAACCAGGAGGUUGCUGCAUAUAUACCUCUUCCUCAAGGGUGCCAUUCAGGAAGGCAUUGUUCACAUCAAUUUGNGUAAUCCAUGAUGUAGAGUACCACUUAGGUAUCUCAAAAUCCUUUUAACUGCCUUCCAAUGUUCUUCCAAAGGAUGAGAUAAAAACUGGCAAACCUUAUUUACAGAAAAUGAGAUUUCAGGUCUGGUAAUAGUGGCAUACUGAAGUGCCCCCACAACAGACCUGAACUGAGUUGGAUCUGGAAUAGCAGCAGAGCCAACUUUUGACAGUUUAC